rnacentral:rRNA from 1 species
AAUCAACGCUGGCGGCGUGCCUCAGACAUGCAAGUCGAACGAUUAAAGCUCUCUUCGGAGAGUGCAUAGAGUGGCGCACGGGUGAGUAACACGUAAGUAAUCUACCUUCGAGUGGGGAAUAACGUCCGGAAACGGACGCUAAUACCGCAUAAUGCAGCGGCAUCGCAAGAUGACAGUUGUUAAAGGAGCAAUUCGCUUGAAGAGGAGCUUGCGGCAGAUUAGCUUGUUGGUAAGGUAACGGCUUACCAAGGCUACGAUCUGUAACCGGUCUAAGAGGACGGUCGGUCACACUGACACUGAAUAACGGGUCAGACUCCUACGGGAGGCAGCAGUCGGGAAUUUUGGGCAAUGGGGGAAACCCUGACCCAGCAACGCCGCGUGAAGGAUGAAGUAUUUCGGUAUGUAAACUUCGAAAGAAUAGGAAGAAUAAAUGACGGUACUAUUUAUAAGGUCCGGCUAACUACGUGCCAGCCGCCGCGGU